rnacentral:rRNA from 1 species
GACGAACGCUGGCGGCGUGCUUAACACAUGCAAGUCGAACGGAAAGGCCCUGCUUUUGUGGGGUGCUCGAGUGGCGAACGGGUGAGUAACACGUGAGUAACCUGCCCUUGACUUUGGGAUAACUUCAGGAAACUGGGGCUAAUACCGGAUAGGAGCUCCUGCUGCAUGGUGGGGGUUGGAAAGUUUCGGCGGUUGGGGGUGGACUCGCGGCUUAUCAGCUUGUUGGUGGGGUAGUGGCUUACCAAGGCUUUGACGGGUAGCCGGCCUGAGAGAGUGACCGGCCACAUUGGGACUGAGAUACGGCCCAGACUCCUACGGGAGGCAGCAGUGGGGAAUAUUGCACAAUGGGCGGAAGCCUGAUGCAGCAACGCCGCGUGCGGGAUGACGGCCUUCGGGUUGUAAACCGCUUUCGCCUGUGACGAAGCGUGAGUGACGGUAAUGGGUAAAGAAGCACCGGCUAACUACGUG